rnacentral:rRNA from 1 species
CUGGCUCAGGACGAACGCUGGCGGCGCGCCUAACACAUGCAAGUCGAAUGAGAGAGAGGGAGCUUGCUUCCUCAAUCGAGUGGCGAACGGGUGAGUAACGCGUGAGGAACCUGCCUCAAAGAGGGGGACAACAGUUGGAAACGACUGCUAAUACCGCAUAAGCCCACGACCCGGCAUCGGGAAGAGGGAAAAGGAGCAAUCCGCUUUGAGAUGGCCUCGCGUCCGAUUAGCUAGUUGGUGAGGUAACGGCCCACCAAGGCGACGAUCGGUAGCCGGACUGAGAGGUUGAACGGCCACAUUGGGACUGAGACACGGCCCAGACUCCUACGGGAGGCAGCAGUGGGGAAUAUUGCACAGUGGGGGAAACCCUGAUGCAGCGACGCCGCGUGGAGGAAGAAGGUCUUCGGAUUGUAAACUCCUGUUGUUGAGGAAGAUAAUGACGGUACUCAACAAGGAAGUGACGGCUAACUACGUGCCAGCAGCCGCGGUAAAACGUAGGUCACAAGCGUUGUCCGGAAUUACUGGGUGUAAAGGGAGCGCAGGCGGGCGAUCAAGUUGGAAGUGAAAUCCAUGGGCUCAACCCAUGAACUGCUUUCAAAACUGGUCGUCUUGAGUAGUGCAGAGGUAGGCGGAAUUCCCGGUGUAGCGGUGGAAUGCGUAGAUAUCGGGAGGAACACCAGUGGCGAAGGCGGCCUACUGGGCACCAACUGACGCUGAGGCUCGAAAGUGUGGGUAGCAAACAGGAUUAGAUACCCUGGUAGUCCACACCGUAAACGAUGAUUACUAGGUGUUGGGAGAUUGACCCUCUCAGUGCCGCAGUUAACACAAUAAGUAAUCCACCUGGGGAGUACGACCGCAAGGUU